GUCGAGGGGUAGAGGAAGCUUGCUUCCUUGAGACCGGCGCACGGGUGCGUAACGCGUAUGCAAUCUACCUUUUACAGAGGGAUAGCCCAGAGAAAUUUGGAUUAAUACCUCAUAGUAUAUAUUAUUCGCAUGUUUGAUAUAUUAAAGUUCCAACGGUAAAAGAUGAGCAUGCGUCCCAUUAGUUAGUUGGUAAGGUAACGGCUUACCAAGACGAUGAUGGGUAGGGGUCCUGAGAGGGAGAUCCCCCACACUGGUACUGAGACACGGACCAGACUCCUACGGGAGGCAGCAGUGAGGAAUAUUGGUCAAUGGACGCAAGUCUGAACCAGCCAUGCCGCGUGCAGGAAGACGGUCCUAUGGAUUGUAAACUGCUUUUGUACGGGAAGAAACCCUCCGACGAGUCGGAGCUUGACGGUACCGUAAGAAUAAGCAUCGGCUAACUCCGUGCCAGCAGCCGCGGUAAUACGGAGGAUGCGAGCGUUAUCCGGAAUCAUUGGGUUUAAAGGGUCCGUAGGCGGUUUAAUAAGUCAGUGGUGAAAUCUGGUCGCUCAACGAUCAAACUGCCAUUGAUACUGUUAGACUUGAAUUACUGUGAAGUAACUAGAAUAUGUAGUGUAGCGGUGAAAUGCUUAGAUAUUACAUGGAAUACCAAUUGCGAAGGCAGGUUACUAACAGUCGAUUGACGCUGAUGGACGAAAGCGUGGGGAGCGAACAGGAUUAGAUACCCUGGUAGUCCACGCCGUAAACGAUGGAUACUA
rnacentral:rRNA from 1 species